UUGAGCCACAACGGUGGAAAGGUCCGAGACAUCAGGCAGAGGCAUCCCAGCGGGAUCCAUGGCCGGAUCUUACUGUAACACUCACGGAGUUGUUUAAGAAUUGAAACAAGUUUAAAAAAUGUUUAAAUAUCGUGGCUGAAGAAUCCCUUAAAGCUAACAGCGGAGUUUUCACUGUAGAGUUCUACGUUUCCAGCAGUGACAACCUUAAUUGAUAAGUGACUUCAUUCUCAAGCUGCGAGAAAUGACUGAACAGAAUGUACUGAGGAGUGAAGGAGCCCCGGGCCAGGGAAAAUGGAUUACCUCCAUAAUAUACAGACAGAACUGUCAAUACUAAUAAGAAGAGCACGAAUAUGGUUGUAAUUGCUAUGUUCCUGUAAUUCUUGG